rnacentral:rRNA from 1 species
UACGUAGGUGGCAAGCGUUGUCCGGAUUUACUGGGUGUAAAGGGCGUGUAGCCGGGCUUACAAGUCAGAUGUGAAAUCCGGGGGCUCAACCCCCGAACUGCAUUUGAAACUGUAGGUCUUGAGUAUCGGAGAGGCAGGCGGAAUUCCUAGUGUAGCGGUGAAGUGCGUAGAUAUUAGGAGGAACACCAGUGGCGAAGGCGGCCUGCUGGACGACAACUGACGGUGAGGCGCGAAAGCGUGGGGAGCAAACAGG